rnacentral:rRNA from 1 species
ACAUGCCUACAACAUAGUUUUAAUACACCAGAUCCCAUUAGAACUAUGCAGUUAAGCAUGCUUGUGCUAAAGUAGUAUUGGGAUGGGUGACCGCCCGGGAAGUCCUAGUGUUUUACAUGCC